rnacentral:tRNA from 1 species
GCCAGCGUGACGGAAUCGGCAUACGUGCGACACUUAAAAUGUCGUGGAGCUUGCUCCAUGUGGGUUCGACCCCCACCGCUGGCA